rnacentral:rRNA from 1 species
UUAAAUAAGUAAGAGUUUAUGGUGGAUGCCUUGGGUCUAGAAGUCGAUGAAGGACGUGAUAACCUGCGAUAAGCCUCGUGGAGCAGGACAUAUGCUAUGAUACGGGGAUUUCCGAAUGGGGGAACCUAGCUAGAUUAAAACCUAGUUAUUUUAUAGUGAAUACAUAGCUAUAAAAAGAGAGACGCUGUGAAUUGAAACAUCUUAGUAACAGUAGGAAGAGAAAAUAAAUAAUGAUUCUGUUAGUAGCGGCGAGCGAACGCGGAAGAGCCCAAACCAGCUUUGCUGGGGUUGUAGGACAGCUUAUAUAGAGUUACAAAGUUAAUGUAUAGAAGAACAAGUUGGGAAGCUUGGUCAUAGAAGGUGAUAACCCUGUAUUCGAAAUGCAUUAAUCUCUUAGCUGUAUCCUGAGUAGGGCGGGGCACGUGAAACCCUGUUUGAAUCUGCCGGGACCACCCGGUAAGGCUAAAUACUAAACUAGACACCGAUAGUGAACAAGUACCGUGAGGGAAAGGUGAAAAGAACCCCGGGAGGGGAGUGAAAUAGAUUCUGAAACCAUUUACUUACAAGUAGUUAGAGCCCGUUAAUGGGUGAUAGCGCACAUCUUGCAGUAUGGACCGGCGAGUUACGUUAGCAUGCAAGGUUAAGUGGAAAAAAGCGGAGCCGAAGAGAAAUCGAGUCUUAAUAGGGCGAAUUAGUAUGCUGAUGUAUACCCGAAACCAGGUGAUCUAUUCAUGAGCAGGCCGAAGCUUAGGUAAUACUAAGUGGAGGGCCGAACCGUAGUACGCUGAAAAGUGCCCGGAUGACUUGUGAAUAGCGGUGAAAUUCCAAUCGAACCUGGAGAUAGCUGGUUCUCCUCGAAAUAGCUUUAGGGCUAGCGUGUAAAUUUAAGUUUUGGGGGUAGAGCACUGAAUGUGGAAUGGCGGCACCUAGCCGUACUGACUACAAUCAAACUCCGAAUACCAUUAUGUAUAUUUAUGCAGUCGGAAUGUGGGAGAUAAGUUCCAUGUUCGCGAGGGAAACAACCCAGAUCGUCAGCUAAGGUCCCAAAACCAUGUUAAGUGAGAAAGGUUGUGAGGUUUCAUAAACAACUAGGAUGUUGGCUUAGAAGCAGCCAUCAUUUAAAGAAAGCGUAAUAGCUCACUGGUCGAGUCGGCCUGCGCGGAAGAUGUAACGGGGCUAAACUAUACACCGAAGCUGCGGCAAUACAGUUUACUGUAUUGGGUAGGGGAGCGUUCUGUAAGCGGUUGAAGGUGCGUUGUAAAGCGUGCUGGACGUAUCAGAAGUGCGAAUGCUGACAUGAGUAACGAUAAAGCGGGUGAAAAACCCGCUCGCCGGAAGACCAAGGGUUCCUGUCCAACGUUAAUCGGGGCAGGGUAAGUCGACCCCUAAGGCGAGGCCGAAAGGCGUAGUCGAUGGGAAACGGGUUAAUAUUCCCGUACUUCUUACAAUUGCGAUGGGGGGACGGAGAAGGCUAGGUGGGCUUGGCGACGGUCGUCCAAGUUCAAGUAUGUAGGCUGUAAUCUUAGGCAAAUCCGGGAUUACACUAGGCUGAGAUACGAUGUCGAGCUACUACGGUAGUGAAGCCAUUGAUGCCAUGCUUCCAGGAAAAGCCUCUAAGCUUCAGAUUGUAAGGAAUCGUACCCCAAACCGACACAGGUGGUCAGGUAGAGAAUACUAAGGCGCUUGAGAGAACUCGGGUGAAGGAACUAGGCAAAAUGGUGCCGUAACUUCGGGAGAAGGUACGCUCCUAGCGGUGAUGAGACUUGCUCUCUAAGCUGCCGGGAGUCGCAGAUACCAGGUGGCUGCAACUGUUUAUUAAAAACAUAGCACUGUGCUAAAUCGUAAGAUGACGUAUACGGUGUGACGCCUGCCCGGUGCCGGAAGGUUAAUUGAUGGGGUUAGCGGCAACGCGAAGCUCUUGAUCGAAGCCCCGGUAAACGGCGGCCGUAACAAUAACGGUCCUAAGGUAGCGAAAUUCCUUGUCGGGUAAGUUCCGACCUGCACGAAUGGCGUAAUGAUGGCCAGGCUGUCUCCACCCGAGACUCAGUGAAAUUGAAAUCGCUGUGAAGAUGCAGUGUACCCGCGGCAAGACGGAAAGACCCCGUGAACCUUUACUAUAGCUUGACACUGAACAUUGAGCCUUGAUGUGUAGGAUAGGUGGGAGGCUUUGAAGCGCGGACGCCAGUCUGCGUGGAGCCAACCUUGAAAUACCACCCUUUAAUGUUUGAUGUUCUAACGUAGGCCCGUAAUCCGGGCUGCGGACAGUGUCUGGUGGGUAGUUUGACUGGGGCGGUCUCCUCCCAAAGAGUAACGGAGGAGCACGAAGGUUAGCUAAUCCUGGUCGGACAUCAGGAGGUUAGUGCAAUGGCAUAAGCCAGCUUAACUGCGAGACAGACACGUCGAGCAGGUACGAAAGUAGGUCUUAGUGAUCCGGUGGUUCUGUAUGGAAGGGCCAUCGCUCAACGGAUAAAAGGUACUCCGGGGAUAACAGGCUGAUACCGCCCAAGAGUUCAUAUCGACGGCGGUGUUUGGCACCUCGAUGUCGGCUCAUCACAUCCUGGGGCUGAAGUCGGUCCCAAGGGUAUGGCUGUUCGCCAUUUAAAGUGGUACGCGAGCUGGGUUUAGAACGUCGUGAGACAGUUCGGUCCCUAUCUGCCGUGGGCGUUUGAGAAUUGAGAGGGGCUGCUCCUAGUACGAGAGGACCGGAGUGGACGAACCUCUGGUGUACCGGUUGUCACGCCAGUGGCAUAGCCGGGUAGCUAAGUUCGGACAGGAUAACCGCUGAAAGCAUCUAAGCGGGAAGCCUCCUCAGAGAUGAAUUUUCCCUUGAAAAUCCUUGUAGACUACGAGGUUGAUAGGCUGGAAGUGUACGUGUAGC